rnacentral:rRNA from 1 species
GGAAUAUUGGACAAUGGUCGGAAGACUGAUCCAGCCAUGCCGCGUGAAGGAAUAAGGUCCUAUGGAUUGUAAACUUCUUUUGAGAGGGAGCAAUAAGGUGUACGUGUACACCGAUGAGAGUACCUUUCGAAUAAGCAUCGGCUAACUCCGUGCCAGCAGCCGCGGUAAUACGGAGGAUGCGAGCGUUAUCCGGAUUUAUUGGGUUUAAAGGGUGCGUAGGCGGUUUUUUAAGUCAGCGGUGAAACGCAAGGGCUCAACCCUUGACCUGCCGUUGAAACUGGAGGACUUGAAUGCGGAUGCUGUGGGAGGAAUGUGUGGUGUAGCGGUGAAAUGCAUAGAUAUCACACAGAACACCGAUUGCGAAGGCAUCUCACAAAUCCGUGAUUGACGCUGAGGCACGAAAGUGUGGGGAUCAAACA